rnacentral:rRNA from 1 species
AGCAGUAGCCGCGGUAAUACGUAGGUGGCAAGCGUUGUCCGGAAUUAUUGGGCGUAAAGGGCUCGCAGGCGGUUUCUUAAGUCUGAUGUGAAAGCCCCCGGCUCAACCGGGGAGGGUCAUUGGAAACUGGGAAACUUGAGUGCAGAAGAGGAGAGUGGAAUUCCACGUGUAGCGGUGAAAUGCGUAGAGAUGUGGAGGAACACCAGUGGCGAAGGCGACUCUCUGGUCUGUAACUGACGCUGAGGAACGAAAGCGUGGGGAGCGAACAGGAUUAGAUACCCCCGUAGUCCUGUCUCUUAUACA